rnacentral:rRNA from 1 species
AGAGUUUGAUCAUGGCUCAGAAUGAACGCUGGCGGCGUGCCUUACACAUGCAAGUCGAGCGAGGCGGCCCGCAAGGGUCAGUCGAGCGGCGAACGGGUGAGUAACGCGUGGAUAACCUGCCCAGAGGUGGGGGAUAACCCGGGGAAACUCGGGCUAAUACCGCAUGAUACCGAGAGGUCAAAGGGGGCUCGCAAGGGCUCUCGCCAUUGGAGGGGUCCGCGUCCGAUUAGCUAGUUGGUAGGGUAAUGGCCUACCAAGGCGACGAUCGGUAGCCGGCCUGAGAGGGUGAUCGGCCACACUGGAACUGAGACACGGUCCAGACUCCUACGGGAGGCAGCAGUGGGGAAUUUUGCGCAAUGGGCUAACGCCUGACGCAGCAACGCCGCGUGGAGGAUGAAGGUCUUUGGAUUGUAAACUCCUGUCAGCAGGGAAAAAGCGACUCGGACGAAUAAUCCGGGGAGUUGAUUGUACCUGCAGAGGAAGCCCCGGCUAACUCUGUGCCAGCAGCCGCGGUAAUACAGAGGGGGCAAGCGUUAUUCGGAAUUAUUGGGCGUAAAGGGCGCGUAGGCGGCUUGGCAAGUGGAUGGUGAAAUCCCUCGGCUUAACCGAGGAACUGCCGUCCAAACUGCUUUGCUUGAGGCCGGGAGAGGCGAGUGGAAUUCCCAGUGUAGCGGUGAAAUGCGUAGAUAUUGGGAGGAACACCAGUGGCGAAGGCGGCUCGCUGGACCGGUUCUGACGCUGAUGCGCGAAAGCGUGGGGAGCAAACGGGAUUAGAUACCCCGGUAGUCCACGCUGUAAACGAUGAGUGCUUGGUGUAGCGGGUAUCGACCCCUGCUGUGCCGAAGUCAACACAUUAAGCACUCCGCCUGGGGAGUACGGUCGCAAGGCUGAACUCAAAGGAAUUGACGGGGGCCCGCACAAGCGGUGGAGCAUGUGGUUCAAUUCGAAGCAACGCGAAGAACCCUUACCUGGGUUCGAAAUGCAGUUGUAA